GAAAUAAAGAAGAAGAGGAAAAAAAAGAAAAAAGAGAAUGAGGAGCAGGAGUAAGAAAAAGAAAAAAAAAAGAACAUGAAAUGAAGGGGGAGAGGAAAGAAGAGGCGACCAGGAGGAGAGAGAAAGAGAAGAGAGGAAAGAUGGAGAAAGAAAGAAGAAGAAAAGGGGCGGACUACUAGUAAACGGGGGUAACUCGUUUCAGGGUUAGGUUUUUUGUUUUUUGUUUUUUUAUUUUUUUAUUUAAUUCCGUCGGAAAUGGUUCAAAAUCCGUCGGAAAUUUCCUACGGAUUUAAAUUCCGUCGGAAAGUAUUUAUUUUCCAACGGAUUUUCCCUCGGAAUCUAAAUAUUAUCCGAGGGAAUUAAAUUCCGUCGGAAUUUUCCGACGGAAAUCCAUAUCCGUCGGAAAGUUCCGACGGAAUGUAAAUCCAUCGAAAAUUUCGUUCUUUCCGACGGAUUUUGGUGUCUGUCGGAACACAUCCGUCGGAAAUGGACCUUUUUCUAGUAGUGUGUGAGGCUUUUAAAUCUUUGUAGAAAAUCAGCUACGUCUAGCGUGCCAUUGAGCCUGUUUAAAGACAUACACAAACAUUGGAGCUCUCUUAAUUGGAAAAAUGACUUUGGGAUUGGCCCUUUCAAGUCAAUAUAACUAAUUUGGGAAGAGGCUAUGCUUGCAAAUUCAUUCAGUUGCCCACUGAAUUUGUUUUUAUACAAAUCGAUCAACUGAAGUGAUGGCAAACUGAAUAAUGAGGUAGAAAUACUUCCAUCAAGUGAAUAUAUCACAAGUUAAGCUCUUCUAAACUUAGUAACUUAUCCCAAUCUGUGGCAUUGAUUGAACCAUUCAAAUUGUUGAACCUAAGAUUAUGGAUCUUAGAUACUUGAUGGAUGAAAAUGAUGGAAUGGGACCAGAAAAUUGGUUAUAGGAGAGAUCAAUUCUAAGGAGCCUCUUGAGGUUGUUCAAGGAGCUUGGUACAAUUCCGGAAAAUUGGUUUCGAGAGAGAUCAAUUGCACGAAGCCUUUUAAGGUUGCUGAUGGAACUUGGCAGGGUUCCAGAAAAGUUUGUAGAAGAAAGGCGUAACUCCUCAAGAGACCUAUUCUUGUAAAAGACUGGCAAAUUCCCUUGCAACUUUUCAUUACCUGAUAAGUCAAGGGUUCUUAGUGUGGGUACUUGAAAAAUUUUACUAGGGAUUAUCCCAUAUAGGCCACAUACACUUAGCCAUAAAUCCUGGUACUCAUCCACCCAUAUUGUCAUUAUCAUCGAGCAUAAUUAUAGAAAGAUGGUGGAGAUUUGAAAGGGACUUAUGGAUUUCACUGCUCAACUCACAUCCGGACAUGCUCAAGAUUUGAAGGCGAGGGAGCGAUGACGAUAAUGCCUUGCACCAUUUAUCCCCUAUGGCUGAAUUAAUGACAUAAUCAAGAUAGAGUUCCUUAAUAUUAGUCAGGUUUCGAAUGAUUGUUGCAAAAUUUGGCUUCUGCAUGUAUAAAGGUACCUGUCCGCUGAAGCCUACCCAUGACAAGUUAAGGUAAGUGAGGCUAGACAGUGUGCCAAUUCUUGAUGGAAUUUCACCUUGCAAAUCAUUGUUGCUUGCUAAAUUCAAGCUUUGGAGGAACUGAAGAUGAAACAAACUACUUGAAUCGUCAAUGCCGCCAAUGAUAUCUUUGCUACUCAAAUCAAGCCCAAUAACUCGACCACUGGAGUUGUUGCAUGUGACACCGCUCCAGUGGCAGCAAUCGGUGCUUUGAUUCUACCCCUCAAGCUUGUCACAAGCAUUGGGAGCAAAUGCAAGAUUAUUCUUUAACUCGAGCAAUAAAGACUUUUGAUUGUGGAGACAUUGGCUAGAGACAAAAGGCAUACAACUCCAAGUGCGUAGCCAUACAAUCAAGAUCAAGAGAAAAGGGCCAAGAAGAAGAAAUGAGUGGGAUUGUUUUCAUUUUGGAGAUAAGCUAGAGUGAAGCAGUACGUGAGGUUCUAGGAGUAAUGUUUAUGAAUGAAUGUAACCGUUGUUGAUAUUCAACUAUUUAUACAACUCAAGGUUUUCUCAA